UGUGGGAGCGAGCCUGCUCGCGAUAGCGGUGUGUCAGCAACCUGUCUGUAUCUGAUAAAGCGCUAUCGCGAGCAGGCUCGUUCCCACA
rnacentral:misc_RNA from 1 species